UUGUGCAGCAAAUAGCCCAAGCUAACAAUCUACAGCAAUUUCUAAAAGACCGAAAAUAUAUCAACUUCUGCAAAAUAUGAAAAUUUAAAAUUUUUUUUCAAAAUUUUUUUGCCAAAUAAUUGACAAAAAUUUCAGUGUCCCGAUUUGAAUGCGAAUUAAUUGAGGACAAUUGUGACUUUGUUUUGUAAAAAAAACAAUUUUUUUUACUGAAAAUUACCAUCAAGAAUCUAAGGCCAAAUCAGAAUAUUUUCACUGCGGUUUUUGAUCGCAAUUCUGCUAAAUCGGGUUCCGUGCCAAAAAGCUGACUAUUUUUUUUACUGAGAAUUAGCAUCAAGAAUUUAUUGCCAAAACAGAACGCAAUUCUGCUAAAUCGGGUUGCCCUGCCAAAAGGCUGGCCGUUUUGCGCAUUCAAUAACACAAGCUAACGGUUUACAGCACAUUCGGAAAGAUCCAAAAGAAUUUCUAUUUCGGCAUUUUUUAUGUAUUAUCGUCUAAUUUUUGUAUGUGUAUUCAUUCUUUUGGCUGUCCGUUAUUAAGCUGCUUUUCUUAUUCACAUAUUCAAUGGCGCAGUACAUAAAAAGAAUGAACCGUGGUUUUCUUGCCCUCUCCAUCUCCCUCUACCACUUCCCCUCUCAACAACUAUCUCACGCACUCUGUCCCUUCUCGUCUCUGUCACCCUCUCUUUACCUACCUCACUCUGGCACACUCUCUCUACCUAUCUCACUCUGUCACCUUCUCUACCUAAUUCUCUCUGUCGCGCUCGCUCUCUCAACAUGCCUUUCGCACCGUAUCUCUUCGUUUCUCUGUAUGCUUGCUCUCUUAAUUUAAGUUUCUCUUUCUUUGUGUUCAAUAUCUUUCGCGCUCGUGACUCCUAUUGACCGGACUCUGAGCGGUGCUCAUUAAGAGUGGAGUUUUCGAUGAUGGCGGGUGGCGCGAACGAGAAUUUUUUACAUAAAGGUAAACGAGUCACACGAGGUGUAAAACACAAACACAAGGAUCAAAAUAAAAUUCAGAGUGGGCUGAAUGUAUUCUACAAAAAGCAACAAAAUGUAUAUAUACAUUAAAAAAAAGUACAUGAUAUUUAUUAUGUACAUGAAUUUUACACGAAUUCUAAAUAAAUGCUACA